rnacentral:rRNA from 1 species
AGUGAACGCUGGCGGUAGGCCUAACACAUGCAAGUCGAACGGCAGCACAGUAAGAGCUUGCUCUUACGGGUGGCGAGUGGCGGACGGGUGAGGAAUACAUCGGCAUCUACUUUUUCGUGGGGGAUAACGUAGGGAAACUUACGCUAAUACCGCAUACGACCUACGGGUGAAAGCAGGGGAUCUUCGGACCUUGCGCGAAUGAAUGAGCCGAUGUCGGAUUAGCUAGUUGGCGGGGUAAAGGCCCACCAAGGCGACGAUCCGUAGCUGGUCUGAGAGGAGGAGCGGCCACACUGGAACUGAGACACGGUCCAGACUCCUACGGGAGGCAGCAGUGGGGAAUAUUGGACAAUGGGCGCAAGCCUGAUCCAGCCAUACCGCGUGGGUGAAGAAGGCCUUCGGGUUGUAAAGCCCUUUUGUUGGGAAAGAAAAGCAGCAGGUUAAUACCCCGCUGUUCUGACGGUACCCAAAGAAUAAGCACCGGCUAACUUCGUG